rnacentral:rRNA from 1 species
UACGGCGGGUGCGAGCGUUGUCCGGAAUCACUGGGCGUAAAGGGCGCGUAGGCGGCAGGCCAAGCGUGCGGUGAAAGUCCGGGGCUCAACCCCGGAUCUGCCGUGCGGACUGGUUUGCUAGAGCACUGUAGAGGCGAGUGGAAUUCCGGGUGUAGCGGUGGAAUGCGUAGAGAUCCGGAAGAACACCGGUGGCGAAGGCGGCUCGCUGGGCAGUGGCUGACGCUGAGGCGCGACAGCGUGGGGAGCAAACAGG